AACGAACGCUGGUGGCGUGCCUAACACAUGCAAGUCGAACGAGAAAGUUUCCUUCGGGGAAUGAGUAAAGUGGCGCACGGGUGAGUAACACGUGGAUAAUCUGCCUCUGAGCGAGGGAUAACAUCCCGAAAGGGGUGCUAAUACCUCAUAACAUCUUGCGGACUCCGGUCUGCAAGAUCAAAGAUGGCCUCUGGAACAAGCUGUCACUUAGAGAUGAGUCCGCGGCCCAUUAGCUAGUUGGUAGGGUAAUGGCCUACCAAGGCAACGAUGGGUAGCUGGUCUGAGAGGAUGACCAGCCACACUGGAACUGAGACACGGUCCAGACUCCUACGGGUGGCAG
rnacentral:rRNA from 1 species